rnacentral:rRNA from 1 species
AUGACGUCCAACCAGUUCGAUCUCCUCGGCGACGUCGACAACGACGACCCCUCGCAGCUCCUCGCCGCCGCCGCCGCCAAGAAGGCCGCCGAGCCCAAGCCCGCGGCGCCUGCCCCCGCCGCCGGCAAGCCCGGCUCCAAGCCACCCGCCAAGACCCCGCCGCCCGCGGAGGACAGGGGCAACCGGGGGGACGGCGCCGGGCGCGGGAGGGGCGGCCGCGGGGGCGGGUUCGGCAGGACCGGCCCGCGGCGGGACUACGGCGACGCGGACGCCAACGGCGGCUUCGAGGGCGGCUACGGCGGCGGCGGCGGCGGCGGCUAUGCGGCGCCUCGCCUGGAGGACGGCGAUGGGAAGCAGGCGGAGAGGGGCCGCGGGCCGCGCCAGCCCUACCGCGGAGGGGGCGGCCGCCGCGGGGGCUACUCCGACGGGCAGAACACGGACGAGUUCGGGCGCCCGCACCGCUCCUACGAGCGCCGCAGCGGCACCGGCCGCGGCUUCGGGAUGAAGCGCGACGGCGCUGGCCGCGGCAACUGGGGGACCGCCACCGACGAAGGGUUCCCACAGGAAAAUGUGGAGGCUGUCAACACUGAGGAGACCCCUGCUGUGGCAGAGGAUGAGAAGAAGCCCGAGGAUGAGCCGCAGCCCGAGGCUGAGAAGGUCAAGGAGGGUGCGGAGAAUGAAGAGGAACAGAAGGAAGCUGAGGAAGAUAAGGAGAUGACCUUGGAGGAGUAUGAGAAAGUGUUGGAGGAGAAGCGGAAAGCGAUACUCGCACUAAAGGCUGAGGAGAGAAAGGUUGAAGUUGACAAGGAGCUGCAGUCCAUGCAGCAACUGUCAGUGAAGAAGGAUGCUGAGGAAGUAUUUAUCAAGCUGGGCUCUGACAAGGAGAAGAAGAAAGAAAACACAGAAAGAGAGGAGCGUGCCAAGAAGUCCCUCAGCAUCAACGAAUUCCUGAAGCCAGCUGAAGGCGAGAGGUACAGUGGCGGUCGGGGCCGCGGCCGUGGCUUCAGGGGACGCGGCGAGGCCCAUGGCGGGUACAACGGCGGCGGCGGUGGCCGGCGACCAGCUGCUGCUCCGGCGAUCGAAGACCAGUCCCAGUUUCCGACGCUAGGUGGGAAGUGA